rnacentral:misc_RNA from 1 species
UUUCCGUUGGUGAACCAGCGGAAGGAUCAUUACAGAGAUCAUGCCCUCACGGGUAGACCUCCCACCCUGUGUUAUAUACUCUUGUUGCUUUGGCGGGCCGCGUGCCUAGCACGCCUUGCGUGCCCGCCAGAGGACACCUAAACUCUGAAUGUUAGUGUCGUCUGAGUACUAUUAAAUAGUUAAAACUUUCAACAACGGAUCUCUUGGUUCUGGCAUCGAUGAAGAACGCAGC